rnacentral:rRNA from 1 species
CCGGAAUUAUUGGGCGUAAAGGGAGCGCAGGUGGGAAAGUAAGUCAGUCUUAAAAGUGCGGGGCUCAACCCCGUGAGGGGAUUGAAACUACUUUUCUUGAGUGCAGGAGAGGAAAGCGGAAUUCCUAGUGUAGCGGUGAAAUGCGUAGAUAUUAGGAGGAACACCAGUGGCGAAGGCGGCUUUCUGGACUGUAACUGACACUGAGGCUCGAAAGCGUGGGGAGCGAACAGGAUUAGAUACCCUGGUAGUUCACGCCGUAAACGAUGGAUACUAGGUGUAGGAGGUAUCGACCCCUUCUGUGCCGGAGUUAACGCAAUAAGUAUCCCGCCUGGGGAGUACGGUCGCAAGACUGAAACUCAAAGGAAUUGAUGGGGGCCCGCACAAGCGGUGGAGUAUGUGGUUUAAUUCGACGCAACGCGAAGAACCUUACCAGGGCUUGACAUUGAUUGAAACUUCCAGAGAUGGAAGCCUCCCUUCGGGGACAAGAAAACAGGUGGUGCAUGGCUGUCGUCAGCUCGUGUCGUGAGAUGUUGGGUUAAGUCCCGCAACGAGCGCAACACCUGUCCUGUGUUGCCAGCACUUUUGGUGGGAACUCACAGGAGACUGCCGCGGAGAACGCGGAGGAAGGCGGGGAUGACGUCAAGUCAUCAUGCCCCUUAUGACCUGGGCUACACACGUACUACAAUGGGAUGUACAGAGGGCAGCGAAGGAGCGAUCCGGAGCGAAUCCCAGAAAACAUCUCCCAGUUCGGAUUGCAGGCUGCAACUCGCCUGCAUGAAGUCGGAAUCGCUAGUAAUCGCAGGUCAGCAUACUGCGGUGAAUACGUUCCCGGGCAUUGCACUCACCGCCCGU